AAGAGAUAUUAUCUGUGGAAGAAGAAGGGGAUCUUGGUCUGUGAACAAGAUAAGAACUGAAGAGAGAAGGGUAGAUUAUAGCCUGAAACCGGGCCUACAUAAACUAGUUGCUCCAACAGUAGUUCUUAUACUCCAUUAGGGAGUACUAGUUAUUUACAUAAACCAGUUGCUCCAACAGUAGUUCUUAUACUCCAUGAGUACUAGUUAAUAUUGACAAAGUCUAUUUUUUUUUUUGUUUUAUCAACAGUGUUUUUUUUCUCAAUAAUUAAGUUCAAAAUCUAAGUCAGAAAUUGAAGACAAACCUUCAUUAAGUCUAUUCCAGAAGUUCAAUGUCACAAAUCAUAACUUCAUUAAAACCCCUAUCUCAAAUCAGGACGCAUGUUUUAACAGAAAUCAAACAUUGUAACCCUGGAUCUAGUCUUUUCGCUCCUGAAAUCAUCAGAUAAGGUGUUUCCUUUUCUAUUUUCACCUAUAACUUCUCUGAAUGAAGAUAGGGGUCUUUAUGGAUUCAAAGUCUUAAAAUCUGAAUGGUUUUCAUUGCUUCGUUGAUGAAGCUAUCGAAAGAUUCUAAUGUCGAUAUUAUUCGAGCCAUGGAUGAGAUUGGGGGUACGGUAUGCUAUGUAGUGGAUUCAGCAGAACUUUGUUGGAAUACUCAUCCCGAUAGGUGCACUGAUUCUUUGAGUAACUGAUGUUUUGGUGUUUAUCUGUUGUGGGUUUAUUGAAAGUUCUUCUCUUUUUCUUUCUUGGUAGAGAAUAUGUGGAGGAGGCUAAUAAGGCGACUAUUAGAAUUCAUGAAUAUUUACAUGUGAGGUGACCGAUGUCUAUUCAGUUAUGCUGUUUUGAGUUUUUGUUUGUUCUGCAUUCAAUUCAUUGUUGUUCACGGGUCUAUUUAGGUAAGUAUACAAUUUGCAUGUGUAUUAUCAAUUAUGGAGGAGGAUCCUAUAAGUAAACAAUGACAGACUCUUUUCUUCUUUUUCUACGUGUUCGUUCAAAGUAAAUAUAUAUAGUUAGGCGUUGAUGAUGUAUGAUGUGCAAGGACAAACACAAUCAAGCUUUUUAUGCUGGAUUUUCCUUACAGUUUCUGAAUAAAAAUCACUGCCUUUACAAUGCAGUAUUAAAGGCCAAGGGUUUAGUGAGAUGUGUAUUAUCAAGCGUUUAGUGAGAUGAUUUCAAAGUUGAGAAGGAAUGGAAGAUUCAUGGGACUCUUAAAACUAGCCAAGAAAAUGGUGUUGUUGUUGUUGAUUCAUUGGGUUGAAUAGUUAUGGUUUAUAGAUAUCCAAAAUUGUUGGGUUUGUAUCCAAACUCGAAUUUGCAGGUGGAGAAGCUGUGAGAGGAGCUCAAACCAAUCAGGGAAAACUGCAGGAGAGAUCUUCCUGUAGACUUAGCAGAAGGAGCGCUCCAUGCAACUUUUCUUGCAAGCAUUCGGCAAGUAUAAUAUUCCAAUCAGUUGGGGAGCUCAGUUCAUCUUUUUGUUGGUUUUAGUUUUGUUUUUUUAAUUCUGUAGGUUGGGUUCCAGUGAUUGUAAGAAAAUUAGUUUUUAAGAAUGCUCAAGUAUAAUUAUAACUUAGAAUGAUGUUAGUUCAGGACUUGUGUAAAUUAUUUUGUGGUUUUUGACCUUACUGUUAGCUCAAUUAAUGUAAAUCGAGUUACUAGUGUAAUCAUAUUUCAAAUUUGAAUUGAAUGGUGAACUUGAUAUCAAAUGAGCAUUUAUUAAAAUUUCAGUUUAA